rnacentral:rRNA from 1 species
GACGAACGCUGGCGGCUUGCCUAAUACAUGCAAGUAGAACGCUGAAGAGAGGAGCUUGCUCUUCUUGGAUGAGUUGCGAACGGGUGAGUAACGCGUAGGUAACCUGCCUUGUAGCGGGGGAUAACUAUUGGAAACGAUAGCUAAUACCGCAUAACAAUGGAUGACACAUGUCAUUUAUUUGAAAGGGGCAAUUGCUCCACUACAAGAUGGACCUGCGUUGUAUUAGCUAGUAGGUGAGGUAAUGGUUCACCUAGGCGACGAUACAUAGCCGACCUGAGAGGGUGAUCGGCCACACUGGGACUGAGACACGGCCCAGACUCCUACGGGAGGCAGCAGUAGGGAAUCUUCGGCAAUAGGGGCAACCCUGACCGAGCAACGCCGCGUGAGUGAAGAAGGUUUUCGGAUCGUAAAGCUCUGUUGUAAGUCAAGAACGGGUGUGAGAGUGGAAAGUUCACACUGUGACGGUAGCUUACCAGAAAGGGACGGCUAACUACGUG